AAUAGAUACCCUGAUAGUCCACGCCGUAAACGAUGAGUGCUAAGUGUUAGAGGGUUUCCGCCCUUUAGUGCUGCAGCUAACGCAUUAAGCACUCCGCCUGGGGAGUACGGCCGCAAGGCUGAAACUCAAAGGAAUUGACGGGGGCCCGCACAAGCGGUGGAGCAUGUGGUUUAAUUCGAAGCAACGCGAAGAACCUUACCAGGUCUUGACAUCCUCUGACAACCCUAGAGAUAGGGCUUUCCCCUUCGGGGGACAGAGUGACAGGUGGUGCAUGGUUGUCGUCAGCUCGUGUCGUGAGAUGUUGGGUUAAGUCCCGCAACGAGCGCAACCCUUGAUCUUAGUUGCCAGCAUUCAGUUGGGCACUCUAAGGUGACUGCCGGUGACAAACCGGAGGAAGGUGGGGAUGACGUCAAAUCAUCAUGCCCCUUAUGACCUGGGCUACACACGUGCUACAAUGGAUGGUACAAAGGGCUGCAAACCUGCGAAGGUAAGCGAAUCCCAUAAAGCCAUUCUCAGUUCGGAUUGCG
rnacentral:rRNA from 1 species